GAUGGCGUCAGCGUCGGACGUCCAACGCCGCAGCCGCGCGUCAGAAGCAUUCACAUGGCUCGAUCCCCAGCCACAAAUUCUCUUGGGCGUCAUUCAUAGGCCAGCAACUCCCCCCCCCCUCUCUCGCUCUCUCUUCAUGGCUCUAGAUAUGGUCAUUUUUAUACCUCAUGCAUGCAUGCAUAUAUAUAUAUAUAUAUAUAUCUCUAAUUUAAAUAUUAAUUUGGAUUUUAAGGGGGGUUUUGUGUAUUUUAUUGCUUUAUUAUUUUUCUUACAAAUAAAAAGGAUAGAAGUAUAUAUUAAUCUGAGUUGAAUAAUUAAAUGGUGUCAUUUGUUCUUUAUGAUAUACCCAAGCACUAAUUCCAUUGUAUAUGUUACUCAUAGGGAGGAUGUAUAUGUUGCUCUCUUUCAUUUUAUAUAUAAUUUUUAUUUGUUUGUUUUUUAGAAACCAAAAGUCAUGUGCAUGCAAGAAACAAUCCAUUUGCAUUUGGUCAAGGUCAUAAUGAUUGAAUCAUUCCUAUUGUUCACUGCAUCAUGGACAAGAAUGAAUUUAGCAUGACAUGGUCUUUUCAUUUGUUUUUUUAGGUGUGCAUUUAUGCUGAUUAUUACAUUUUCUAUUUUUCUAUUUGUUACAAAGUAAAGUAUUGCCAAUUUCAUACAUCCCCACAUGCUUUGUUCAACAGUUGCAAUCAUUUGCUCACAACUGGGAAAAAUAAAUGUAUCUUUGUAAAAAGAAACAUUGAGCCAACAUUAAAAGCAUUCUAGUGUGUUUUGUAUCCAAACACAGUGCAAGAACUAUGGAGAUUUUUUUUUUAUUGCUAGCAAUAAUGAUCCAGAACAAAAAUGCCUCAACAAAUGUCACAUUACUGAACGCAAAAUGGAAAAUGUGUAUAUCUAUGGGAAUAUUAAAUAGACCCAC
rnacentral:lncRNA from 1 species